rnacentral:rRNA from 1 species
AUUCCCUAGUAGCGGCGAGCGAAGCGGGAAGAGCUCAAAUUUAUAAUCUGGCACCUUCGGUGUCCGAGUUGUAAUCUCUAGAAGUGUUUUCCGCGUUGGACCGCACACAAGUCUGUUGGAAUACAGCGGCAUAGUGGUGAAACCCCCGUAUAUGGUGCGGACGCCCAGCGCUUUGUGAUACAUUUUCAAUGAGUCGAGUUGUUUGGGAAUGCAGCUCAAAUUGGGUGGUAAAUUCCAUCUAAAGCUAAAUAUUGGCGAGAGACCGAUAGCGAACAAGUACCGUGAGGGAAAGAUGAAAAGCACUUUGGAAAGAGAGUUAACAGUACGUGAAAUUGUUGGAAGGGAAACGCUUGAAGUCAGACUUGCUUGCCGGAGCUUGCUUCGGUUUGCAGGCCAGCAUCAGUUUUCCGGGGUGGAUAAUGACGGUUUGAAGGUAGCAGUCUCGGCUGUGUUAUAGCUUUCCGUUGGAUACAUCCUGGGGGACUGAGGAACGCAGCGUGCUUUUUGCGAAAGACUCGUCUUUUUCACGCUUAGGAUGCUGGUGGAAUGGCUUUAAACGACCCGUCUUGAAACCACGGACCA